GCUAUGCUACGUAUGACGUAAUCGUUUCAAGAAAGAUGCGGUUGGCUGUCCACGUGAAAUGUCUGCCACAUCAGCUCCACAUGCAUCCCCUCCACCUCUCUCGCCCGUCUUUCUUUCUCGGCUUCUCCUCUCACCUCUUCCUCCACUUGAGGCUUAGUUAAGCCUGAAUGAGAGAACAGAGAGGUGGUGCUGGUAAUACGGCAGCAGCGGUCUGAGGUUAAUGUCACACGACUGGAAAUCUAUGACGCCUGCGGUGGCCUGGAGGGUGGUGGAUGACAACGACUGCCCGAAUAUCAAUGGCUUUCACCCUGCCCCCCUGGUGCUGUGGAGAGUCACACCUGCAGCGAAUCACCUAAUAGACUCCUGCUAUUUAAGACCGGCUGCAGCUCUCUUCAGCGCCUGAGUCUUGUCUACCUUACCACACGUGCCUCCUGCUCAGAUCACCACAGCCAGCUCCAGCACUCUCUCAC